GAUGAACGCUGGCGGCGUGCUUAACACAUGCAAGUCGAACGGUGAAGGCGGAGCUUGCUCUGCUGGAUCAGUGGCGAACGGGUGAGUAACACGUGAGCAAUCUGCCCCUGACUCUGGGAUAAGCGCUGGAAACGGCGUCUAAUACUGGAUACGAGCUGCGAAGGCAUCUUCAGCAGCUGGAAAGAAUUUCGGUCAGGGAUGAGCUCGCGGCCUAUCAGCUUGUUGGUGAGGUAAUGGCUCACCAAGGCGUCGACGGGUAGCCGGCCUGAGAGGGUGACCGGCCACACUGGGACUGAGACACGGCCCAGACUCCUACGGGAGGCAGCAGUGGGGAAUAUUGCACAAUGGGCGAAAGCCUGAUGCAGCAACGCCGCGUGAGGGACGACGGCCCUCGGGUUGUAAACCUCUUUUAGCAGGGAAGAAGCGAAAGCGACGGUACCUGCAGAAAAAGCGCCGGCUAACUACGUG
rnacentral:rRNA from 1 species